CCCGACUGCUAUUUGGGUGAGGAUAAGCCAUGCGAGUUGAAUGGGAAACCUAAAAAUCCCAUGGCAAACUGCUCAGUAACACAUGAUCAACUUACCCUAUAGAGGAAAAUAACCUCGGGAAACUGAGGAUAAUGUUCCAUAGUUGAAUCGGCUUGGAAAAGUUUUUCAAUAAAAGGGAGUAAGGAAAAUGGUCCUUAUCUGCUAUAGGAUAGGAUCGUGCUCGAUUAUGGUUGUUGGUGAGGUAAAGGCUCACCAAGCCGAUAAUCGAUAGGGGCCGUGAGAGCGGGAGCCCCGAGAUGGGUACUGAGACAACGACCCAGGCCUUACGAGGCGCAGCAGGCGCGAAACCUCCGCAAUACACGAAAGUGUGACGGGGUUACCCAAAGUGUUCAAUUUUGAACUGUGGUAGGUGAGUAAUGUUCCCUACUAGAAAAGGAGAGGGCAAGCUGGUGCCAGCCGCCGCGGUAAAACCAGCUCUUCAAGUGGUCGGGAUAAUAUUGGGCUUAAAGUGUCCGUAGCCGGUUUAGUAAGUUCCUGGUAAAAUCGGGUAGCUUAACUAUCUGUAUGCUAGGAAUACUGCUAAACUAGAGGGCGGGAGAGGUCUGAGGUACUACAGGGGUAGGGGUGAAAUCUUAUAAUCCUUGUAGGACCACCAGUGGCGAAGGCGUCAGACUGGAACGUGCCUGACGGUGAGGGACGAAAGCCAGGGGAGCGAACCGGAUUAGAUACCCGGGUAGUCCUGGCCGUAAACGAUGCAUACUAGGUGAUGGCAUGGCCAUGAGCCGUGUCAGUGCCGUAGGGAAACCGUUAAGUAUGCCGCCUGGGAAGUACGGUCGCAAGGCUAAAACUUAAAGGAAUUGGCGGGGGAGCACCACAAGGGGUGAAGCCUGCGGUUCA
rnacentral:rRNA from 1 species